AUGCAGCAGACAGGGUUCGGGGGGAAGCUGAACAAGCCCCUGGUGCAGGAAGACAGGCUCUCCCCAGCCCCGGGACAGGAUUUUCCACACACCGAUGGAAGCUUCAGGAGAUCCUGCUCCGUCGCCCCAGUGUUCAGACUACCUGUUCAGGACAAUGCCGUUGUACAGUAGUCUGCACAUUGGUUAGACUGGGCAAGGGCCAGCAACGCCAUGGACGGCUGGGGACACAAUGUGCUGCUUCCAAGGAGAGGACAGCUGGGUGCUCCUUUGUUGAAUCUCAUAUCCAGUGUUUCUCUUCACAGGUUUUGCAAACUAGGGACCAAGAAGCCCUCAGGGACUCUGCCAGGGGAGAGGACUGCUCCAGGGAAGACCAGCGGGUAAGGCCUCGGGGAUUGCGUACCUGGACUGUGAUUGGGGAACUAGAUAGAGAUCCCACCACCUGUGUGAAGAUGCUGGAGACACUGAGCUAAGGGACAGA